rnacentral:rRNA from 1 species
UACGGGGGGAGCAAGCGUUUUUCGGAUUUACUGGGCGUAAAGGGCGCGUAGGCGGCCAGCACAAGUCAGUUGUGAAAUCUCCGAGCUUAACUCGGAACGGUCAACUGAUACUGUGCGGCUAGAGUGCAGAAGGGGCAACUGGAAUUCUUGGUGUAGCGGUGAAAUGCGUAGAUAUCAAGAGGAACACCUGCGGCGAAGGCGGGUUGCUGGGCUGACACUGACGCUGAGGCGCGAAAGCUAGGGGAGCGAACGGG